rnacentral:rRNA from 1 species
UGGGGAAUAUUGCACAAUGGGCGCAAGCCUGAUGCAGCCAUGCCGCGUGUGUGAAGAAGGCCUUCGGGUUGUAAAGCACUUUCAGCGAGGAGGAAGGGUAGUGUGUUAAUAGCACAUUGCAUUGACGUUACUCGCAGAAGAAGCACCGGCUAACUCCGUGCCAGCAGCCGCGGUAAUACGGAGGGUGCAAGCGUUAAUCGGAAUUACUGGGCGUAAAGCGCACGCAGGCGGUUUGUUAAGUCAGAUGUGAAAUCCCCGCGCUUAACGUGGGAACUGCAUUUGAAACUGGCAAGCUAGAGUCUUGUAGAGGGGGGUAGAAUUCCAGGUGUAGCGGUGAAAUGCGUAGAGAUCUGGAGGAAUACCGGUGGCGAAGGCGGCCCCCCUGGACAAAGACUGACGCUCAGGUGCGAAAGCGU